CACGGGGGGGGACUAACGUUAUUCAUCAUAACUGGGCGUAAAGGGUACGUAGGUGGUUUAUUAAGUCUUAAUUAAAAAAAUCUAAGCAUAACUUAGAAAUUAAUUAUUAUACUGGUAUUCUCGAGGUUAAAUUAAGAAAGUUAUAUUUUUGAAGUAGGGGUAAAAUUCUAAAAAUAUCAAAAAGAUAACCAUCAGGCGAAGGCGACUUUCUACUUUAAUACUGACACUGAGGUACGAAGGCAUGGGUAUCAAACGGG
rnacentral:rRNA from 1 species